rnacentral:rRNA from 1 species
CAGCACCUCAAGUGGUCAGGAUGAUUAUUGGGCCUAAAGCAUCCGUAGCCGGCGCUGUAAGUUUUCGGUUAAAUCUGUACGCUCAACGUACAGGCUGCCGGGAAUACUGCAGAGCUAGGGAGUGGGAGAGGUAGACGGUACUCGGUAGGAAGGGGUAAAAUUCUUUGAUCUAUUGAUGACCACCUGUGGCGAAGGCGGUCUACCAGAACACGUCCGACGGUGAGGGAUGAAAGCUGGGGGAGCAAACCGGAUUAGAUACCCGAGUAGUCC